GGCUGCUAAUACCGGAUGUGCCUUAUUGGUGAAAGAUUUAUCACCUGAAGAUGAGCUCGCGUCUGAUUAGCUAGUAGGUGUGGUAAGAGCGCACCUAGGCGACGAUCAGUAGCUGGUCUGAGAGGAUGAUCAGCCACACUGGGACUGAGACACGGCCCAGACUCCUACGGGAGGCAGCAGUGGGGAAUUUUCCGCAAUGGGCGAAAGCCUGACGGAGCAAUACCGCGUGAGGGAGGAAGGCUCUUGGGUUGUAAACCUCUUUUCUCAAGGAAUAAGUACUGAAGGUACUUGAGGAAUCAGCAUCGGCUAACUCCGUGCCAGCAGCCGCGGUAAUACGGAGGAUGCAAGCGUUAUCCGGAAUGAUUGGGCGUAAAGCGUUCGCAGGUGGUCAAUCAAGUCUGCUGUUAAAGAGUGCAGCUCAACUGCAUAAGGGCAGUGGAAACUGAGUGACUAGAGUUAGGUAGGGGUAGAGGGAAUUCCUGGUGUAGCGGUGAAAUGCGUAGAGAUCAGGAAGAACACCGGUGGCGAAAGCGCUCUGCUGGACCUGGACUGACACUGAGGGACGAAAGCUAGGGGAGCGAAAGGGAUUAAUA
rnacentral:rRNA from 1 species